CAGUAGGAACUUCUUAAGAAAAAAAAAAAAAUCAGAGACAGGUGGUAUUUUCACCUGUAGGUACAUCUAAGAACAUCACGAUGAACAAAUUCCUGUGGAGCUGUGCAGCACUAUUGACUCUGUUUGUUACAGUUGAGUCCAUCCUCUGUAAAACCUGUGAUGUGGAGAUCCUCGGCAUCUGCCUCAGCAAAGUGAAUGUCAAUUGCUCCGAAACUCAGAACAGAUGCUACACCGCAGUUGCUAAGUUUAGUGCCAACCUUGUGGAUAUCCAUGAACAAGGCUGUACAGACGAAUCCGGCUGCAGCAAUAGUAACGGGACCAUCCUGAAUGUUCACUACAACAUCACCAGGACCUGCUGCAGCACCAACCUCUGCAACGGAGCCACCUCCACCGAGCUGCCUCUGACUGCAGCUCUGUGUGCUGCUCUGGUGGCAGUAUGGAGCCAAUUGGCCCUUUAAAGAAGAGGAGAUGGGACAAAAAUGGUUGCUUAACAUUUGCAUUUCAAAAUUACAUAGCUUUUUUGUGCUUUAAAUAACAUUUGGAGUACAUCACUGUCCCUAUGAUAUAUAAUGGAGGGAUACUGGCGGCAUAGUAGGACUCAGCUUGGAGUCUUUAUAGCAUCAUGUGAGGUUACAGGAGAUCUACAUUUGCUGUUAGAGCUAUUUGUAUCUGUAUAUAAUAUACCAGGUAUCUGAGCAACUUAAUCCUAAUACUGAUUAUUACAAAAAUAAAUUAGUUCCAAGGGAAAAAGUAUUUCCAUUUGUUUCCCUGUGUGUUUAUUUGGAACACAGCCUCCAAAUGAUUCAUAUGAUGGGAUAUGCUAACGUGUUUCACAGAGACAAGGUUGGGAUAGGGAAAAUGUUCAGCAAACAAAGUAGUAUUAAUGCAGUAGGUCGAGAAUUUAGGAAAGAUUAAUACCACUCUCAUGUCUCUAUCUUAAUUACAAAGCUACUGAUAGCAGUCGGUUAGCUUAGCUUAGCACAAAGACUGGAAACAGGAGGAAAACAGCUAGCCUGGCUCUGUGCGAAGAUAAAGAAAGUCUGCCUUCCACCACCUCCAAAGACCAGUAUUUAUGUUAUAUCUUGUUUGUUUAAUCUGUACACACAGAAAUAUAUUUACGAGAGGUUGUAGUUUCACGAGGUGUUACUCGUGUAUUUGUUCGAGGGAAGCUGUGAGUCAUGUCCUUACCGGGAAAUUGGUAACUACCAUAAAAUAUUUUGGCACAUAAUCUCUCAUAAAAUCACAAUGUUGUUUUUACGCUUUGGUUUUUGUACAGAUUAAACAAAUGAGAUAUAAGAUGUUAAUGAUUGAGCUUUGGAGGAGCAGUUAGGCAGAUUUUUUGUUACCUUUGGGCAGAGCCAGGCUACCUGUUUCCCCCUAUCUCCGGUCUUUGUGCUUUGUGCUAGCUAGGUAAAUCAUUUUAGCUGAUGUAACUCUUGGUCAGAAAACAAACAAGAUAAAAAAUGUCAAACUAUUCCUUAAACUCCAAAUGUCAUCACCUGCUUCAGGUGGAUUUGGGUGUGGAUUUUUACAAAGAAUUAAGGCAAAACCUUUAGCAACUGUGAGUAAAUUUGAGGCUGGGACAACUUCAGGCCACAGUAACAGGUAAUUAUCAAAAAACAAAAUUGAAAGAAUAGUUUGACAUUUGGGGAAAUAUGCUAGUUUACUUUCUUGCCAAGUGCUAUACAAGUGAUAGAUACCUUUCUCAUGUCUAUCCAUUCAAUAUGAAACUAUAGUCAGCAGACCAGAAAAAACCAACAAAGCUGAAAAUUGUUGUUUUUUUCUCUCUGAUUUUUGUACAGAUUACAUAAACGACGUAUAAAAUGUGAGUUAGUGAGCUUGAGAGGUGCCGGCAGAAAAUGGUGAACCUUUAGACAGAAGCAGGGUAGUCGUUUUCUCCUGUUUCCAGUCUUUAUGUUAAGCAGGUUAGCUUAGCUUAUAUAACUCUAUCUCUAUUUCUAUUCUAUACUACACUUGCCAAUGGAAUUUAAAUUGGGAUUAUUUUGUCUCACACAUGUGCCAAAGGUAAAGACUGAAUUUCCAUGAUCCAUGUGGAAAUGUGUACAUACACACUAUUCUAUUGUGGCUCCACAGCGUAAGAGUAAAGGGAGUGUCUCUUCAUAGACAAUCCUAAUAUUUGUUGAGCAAUUGUUAGUUAUUGACCGAAGCUUUUUCCUCUUUUGUAAUCAAGUGCUUUUGAAAAUGAUUAUGAUCUUGGUUUUCAAAGGUUCAGACACACACACACACACACAAUCAAUUAUGCACACACACAAAGACGUCCAUUAUCCCUAUUUCUCUUUGUUGGCUUUUUGAAGCUCUUAUCAAGCAAACCUCUGUUUUCAUAGCGUCAGCAUUUCAAAGAACAUAUGAGAGGUUUGACAAAUGAAAAUCAGUGUCAACAUCCUUUUUUAAUCAUAUAUAAAUAUAUAUAUAUAUAUGUAUAUAAUGGUCAAUCUGAGAUCCUGAUAGCACACCUUUCAAAUAAAACCAGAUGAUCCAGAGCUGAUGAAGCUCAUUUGAAACCCACUACAGACACUCACCUGGACAACCGGAUCAUUGAACGUCUCUUUGACCGCCUCAUCCUUGCAUUUGGAGCUUCUUAUUUAUAUUGAUAAUAAAUCUAAAUAAAACACAUAUUUGUGUAAGAGCAAAAUGAAGAAAUUGCUAUUGGUCUCUGCAGUAUUUGUGGCAAUGGUGGUUACAGGUGAGUCCCUGACCUGUAACACCUGCAGGGUGGGGAUCGCAGGUAAAUGUCUGUUCAGCUCCACUGAAACCUGCAGUGACUCUCAGCCAAACUGCUACUGGG